rnacentral:rRNA from 1 species
GCAUAAUAAAUAGUUUUUUAAUUGGGAACUGGAAUGAAGGGUUAAAACUAAAAAGAAAGUUUUAUUUAUUGAAUUUGAAAUUAAAUUAAAAGUAAAAAUGCUUUUAUGAAGCUUUGGGACGAGAAGACCCUAGAAGCUUAAAAUUAAGAAUUUUUUAUUGGGGUAAUAUUUGAAGAUAACAAUUUUUGGAAAAUUUAAAAAGUAGUUUAUAUAAAGUUACUCUAGGGAUAACAGCAUUAUUUAAUUAACAAGUUCUUAUUAAUAAUUAAGUUUGUGACCUCGAUGUUGAAUUAAUUUUUAUUUAUGGUGAAGAAGCUAUAAGAGGGUAGUCUGUUCGACUAUUAAAAGCUUACAUGAUUU